rnacentral:lncRNA from 1 species
GGAAUUCUGUUAACCCGGGAGAAGGUGUUAGGCAUUAUCGAGUUCUGUGGUUCUAGCACGGUCGCUUAACAGUUGUAUUUUAUUUUAUAUGAUUUUAAUACAUGCUAGCUUAUCUGCUUUUUAUUUAUAAACCACUUUUACCAUUAUUUAUUUUAAAAGACUUGUGACGUCGUGAAAAUACAUCUCUGACCACGUCGCCAUCAAGGCACCCAUGGUCGUCAACACAUUUCGACUUCGUCGAGAUUUGGAUUUGGGUCGCAUCAAUGCGCACCCGAGUUUAAGAAGGUAAUUUAAUUAAAACGCGUCUAAAGAUUCUAUCACAAUAUUAUUUUGGGGGAGUCCGUGAAAUUCGCUAAACGGCCCUCCCGAAUUCUAAGUAAUUUUAUGUAAUCAUUAUUGAGAGCCCCAUAUUUAUGUUUGUUCGAUAAGGCUCGUCUCAAUUUUUAUUUUUAAAAGGAUAAACCUGAAAAAUAACUAUGUUUUCCAACUUUGUUUUUAUCUUAAAAAAAAACAAAAAGCCAAUGACAAAUUGCUGGCCCAAAACAACGGGCCCGCGACUUGGAGAAUAAGUAUCAACUAUCGAUUCCUACCUAUACCCACACACGAUUUCAAAUGUAAUCACAUUACAGGCGCGCAUACAUCGAACUACAGCAUCAAUCCAGUGUAAAAUAUAACCGGGGUCACACUUGUAUCCUCAAGCGCAGGAACAACCCAGGCCCUAUGUGUAUGGGCUCAAAACUACGACCACGGGGAGACAAUGCAUCCUUAUUCGAAUUUUAAAAAAUACGUUUGAACUCUGUUUAGUCCACAAAUUAGCCUAUCCAAUUGCAUACUGAAUGAGAUUAUUAAAUUAGAUAAAGCUAAGCUACUGUUAUAUGCCCAUAUGCCUAUAAUGAAUGGAUUAUUAUCAAUGCAUCCUACUCAGUUAAUAAUCAACUAAUAACAAAAUGAAACAAUCAGCAACCAAUAUUCUCUAACCAAAUUGAGCACCAUUCACCUUUACGACAUCCUUAUAUUUGAGAUACUAACAACUGAAUUCAAACAGAUAGCUCAAGUUUCAAUCUUAAUUAAGCAGUUCAAGUCUUACAGUCCAUGAUUUAAUACGACUCUAACGGAUUAAAAUCAAUAGAUUAAAACUCCAAGCAGGCAAAUAGAACACAGGUCAGAGGUGGCUUCAUUUCAUUCAAGGUGAGUUCCAACUGUGUUGCCUGGACAGCAAAAUAAGAGGAAGAAAAUGAGAGGCCAACACAGCAGUGCGACAGUGAACAAUCACAAGUAAUCCAGGAAUAGAAAUCCCAAUCCAAGGAAGUUGAAAAUCAACAGCAGUAAUUAAGUCAACGAACUCAAAUUGCACAUAAUCUCACCCCCAGCAGAUGUGAAACUCCUUAAAACCCAACACACUUUUUCAAUAAGCCUAAAACCCCACUAGAACUAUAAAGUAGGUUGAAGGUCUUUAGAUGAAAUCAGAAGGGGUCUGGUGAAUUCUCAAUGAAACAGUAGAAACAUUUUUUAGGAUUUUCGAAAUUUUGUAUUGCCUUUUGAAUUUUGAACCGCAGAGGUACUUCAGAUUUAGGAUUCAGAAUGGAAAUAAUAUUUUCGAGCUGGUUAUUAUUAUAUCUCCAUGAUUUUCCUUUGUUCUUUUGGAUUUUUUUUUUGAAAAUUUCUGAUGUUUUUGGUUUUUUUAUAUGAAGAAAGCUAAAACCUAAGGGAAUUUCAGAUCUGGAAGCUUGAGGGUAUUUUUUGGGCUGUCAAACUUGUGAAUGAAGUAAAUGACAUGCCCUUAUAUAGGGCAGCCCUUAUUUUCUGUUUUCAAACUCAGUCUCUUCCUUAUUUUCAUAUUAAUCCCUUCUUUUCUGACUUGUGCCACAAGUUAGCAUACUUAUUUUGCUGAUAUCUAAACUAAAGCCCCUCCCUAGAAGGCUCUACGUGAUUCUAGUAUUGCCCACAACAUUCUUAUGAUUUUAAAGUACCAAAUUACCCCUACCCCUGAUUUGCAAUAACUGUUUUUGAUAAAUCGACCAUUUCUCAUGCCCAGACUACCCCUGACUCUUCCCCUGAAAUUACUGAUUCUCCCAACCCCCCAUAAACCAGUAUGAAAACAUUAUCAGCUAUAACCAAUAAGCAAACAUACCAAUUACUAAUUAAUCCUAUUAAACUAACUCCUAAUUAAUCAUUUGAACACUAAAACUAAAGUUUAAACCAAAGAUCAGAUUCCAAGCUUAAAAGAACAAUAAUAUGAUUCAAAUCAUCAAACUCAACAAUAAUCUAAACUCGAACUCAAAUUAAAUCAAACAAGCAUAAAAAAACGACGGAUUCAACAAUCAAAGCCUCACUUAUCACAGAAAGGAUAGCAGGAAAAUGAUAAAAAAAAACUGACGGAAAUCAAAGAAGAACCAAAUUAAUUUGAAUAAAAAUGAGCAAUCAAAACCAGGCCUUAUGCAUUUGAACAAACUAAUGACGAACUUAAAGUUUAUACUACCAAUUAAUCAAGGAGCAACAAUACGAACCUAAUUCAGAAACACGAGAGAAUGAGGAAAGAAACAGAGAUUAAGAUUAGACGAAACUCACUGACUUUUGACACCCGAUGGCUUGACUGGCCUCGAACUCGACUUCCAGUUAACGUUGUGUGUUUAUUUCGUCUGAAAUAAACACGUAACAUUAGCUCGAAGUCAAUCGAGCAGUCGAAUCCCCACUCAGACUUGAAUUUCAAAAACCCUAUAUUUACGAUUUGACGACCUCCGGUGAUAUCUGACGGAAACUAAUGAGGGAUUGAUAAUGAGGGAGGUUAGGGGAAAGUAUGGUGAAAACUUGAGCGGAUUUGGACGAAGUCAUGUUCCAUGUCGAAAAUUCGACUCAAUAUUCGACACUUUUGAUGAGGGCUCUGGGGAAACUGAUACUGGGGGUGGAAAAAGGAGGAAGAAAGGAGCCCAGGGUGUAAUUUUGGAGCCCAUCGGAGCAUCGCCGCCGGCAGAGGCGAUUUCUGGUAGGCGGCUCAUGGUGGCGUUACACAGGUACGAGGAAGACGACAUCGGUCGUUAAGGCUUGACCUAUUUUUGGACCAUCUUAUUACAUUAAGG